AGGUCCUGCACAUACUUCCCUAAUCAAUUAUACAAUCCGAUGAAAAGUCUUGCCACUAUAGACGACAAGGAAAAAACAUAGCUGCGGUUAACAUCAAAAGAAGAUGUCCUUUCGGAACAAAUUAUAUGUACGAUAUAAUGCAGUUUUGCAUAUGCCGGUGCAAGGGAGUGUGAAGUAAUUUGCCCUUUUACUAACCUCUCAUGAAUAGAUUCGAAAUAUCUAGUUUGUUUUUAUUUUACUGUUUAUUCUUUGCUUUCAAUAUAUUUUGUAAAGACUUGUUUUGCUCCCGAAUAUGUCGAACUCUCUUUCUAUAUGGCUGACUGAUUUUAAAGAUCAUGACACCAGACUUGUGUAUUUGUUUAUUGGUUACUAAGCAGUUACUUGUUUUAAAAAACAUCAGACGCGAUUUGUCUUCUUCCUGUCUGUUUAGCAAUUACUAUUACUUUUUGAAGUUAAUUCAUCGCAUUUCUCGUUCUAGUUUUAAGAUCACUUUUAGUCAUUAAUUUAUUGCCGAAAAAUAUUUCAAACGGUCACAUUCGCUUUAUUAUUAAAGUGGUAAAAACAUGUAUACAGAGAGACGUUUCUUUACUUGAGUACCGGUCAUAUUCCAAGCCCAACUGUUCCGAUGACUAAAUCGUUUUAAUAAGCAUUCUUGUACAGAAAGGAAAUCCUUUUUAGAAUAAAGUACACAGUUUUUAUAUAAACCAAAAUAAGCAGGAAUUCAAAGCUAUAUUUAUCAAAACAUACAUUGAGAAAUAUCAAUGUUUUCUUAAAAUUUGUGAUACAAAUGAUGAUGUAUAGAAGUCUACAUAAUAUUUACUGUUUAUAACAUAUCAUAUAUACCUUAAUUAGAUGCACCAUGAAAAUAUGUGAUUUGAUAACAAAACUGGUCAUGUAUGAUCGCAACAAUUGUUGAAUAUAUUGAAAUUUGCUUCCCAGGAAUAGUUGACACAAACAUAACUUUGAUACUACACAGCAUACAAUAUAUUGUAGAAAUAAAGAGCAAUAACUUAAUAAAUUUAUCAAAUAAC
rnacentral:lncRNA from 1 species